rnacentral:rRNA from 1 species
GAUGAACGCUAGCGGCAGGCCUAAUACAUGCAAGUCGAACGGUGUCUUCGGACAUAGUGGCGCACGGGUGCGUAACACGUAUGCAACCUACCUUACAUUGGGGGAUAGCCUUUCGAAAGGGAGAUUAAUACCGCAUAAGACAGUAGCUGGGCAUCCAGCAGCUGUUAAAGAUUUAUCGAUGUAAGCUGGGCAUGCGUCCAAUUAGCUAGUUGGUGAGGUAACGGCGCACCAAGGCAAUGAUUGGUAGGGGAACGGAGCGGUCAAUCCCCCACAAUGGCACUGAGAACCGGCCCACACUCUUACGGGAGGCAGAGGUAGGGAAUAUGGAGCGAUGGACGCAAGUCUGACCCGGCCAGGCCGCGUGCAGGAUGAAGGGGUUAGGCGUUGUGAUCUGCUUUUAUGCAGGAAGAAACCAGUCUUGCGCGAUGCAUUGGCGGUACGGUAUGCGUAAGCACCGGCUAAUUACGUGCCAGCGGCCGCGGUAAAAC